rnacentral:rRNA from 1 species
UGGGGAAUAUUGGACAAUGGGGGCAACCCUGAUCCAGCAAUGCCGCGUGUGUGAAGAAGGCCUUCGGGUUGUAAAGCCCUUUAGGUUGGGAAGAAGCUUAGUAUUUUAAGAGAUAAUUAAGUUGACGGUACCGACAGAAUAAGCACCGGCUAACUCUGUGCCAGCAGCCGCGGUAAUACAGAGGGUGCGAGCGUUAAUCGGAGUUACUGGGCGUAAAGGGCGCGUAGGUUGUAGCAUAAGUUGGUUGUGAAAGCCCUGGGCUUAACCUGGGAAUUGCAACCAAAACUGUGUAACUAGAGUACUGUAGAGGGUAGUGGAAUUUCCGGUGUAGCGGUGAAAUGCGUAGAGAUCGGAAGGAACACCAGUGGCGAAGGCGGCUACCUGGACAGAUACUGACACUGAGGCGCGAGAGCGUGGGGAGCAAACAGG